rnacentral:lncRNA from 1 species
AUUUUUAAAACCUUCCAGAAAAUGUACACACGCUGUGUCCCCGUUUCCUACACUCAAACCGACUAAUAUAAAUUCCAUUUUUGUUUCCCAUCAGGCUUUAGUGCACUACUCUACGCUCUCCCGCACUUUCUCAUUGGUCAAUAUGAGCCCUCCCUCACAGGUCCUCGCGGGCCUACAUGUUUCAGCGGUAAUAUAACACAAGGCGAGAAGGCGCAGUGCUCUCUGGAGAGUGACAGUCGUUGGUAUUAUAUGGCAAUAUUUGUUUUGGCGCAAUUAAUUAUGGGCGCCGGGAUAUCACCCUUCUAUCCAUUAGUGCCUGCAUACCUGGAUGAGAAUGUCCACCCCAAACAUAUGCCUGUUUAUUUGGGGAUCUGGACUUGUGCCACGUUCCUCGGUCCAGGCCUCGGGAUGAUACUCGGCGGCAAAUUCCUGAGCAUCUACGUUGAUCUAGAACAG